rnacentral:lncRNA from 1 species
GAGAAUCAACUCAAGUGCCAUAAAAGCAGCUGGCCCAAGCAGGCUUCUGCUUCUCUGUUGUUCUUUCAGCCCCUGCCUGAGAUCCCAUGCUUGCAUUGAGUCGGUGUUCCCUGUAGUUGGAGAAAUUUAUGAGAGUAAAUGCUAACAGUUACCACACAGCUGCUUGUGCAAACUAUAGACGAUAGAGUCUGGAGUUCGGCAGACCAGCCAAAACGCCACGGUUGCCUCCUGAUGACCUACAUCUGCUCUCUGCCUGGAGCCAAUAAUGCAAGCAGUAUUUUCAUCACGAAGCAUCUAGAGAGAAAAGAUUUCACAACUUCCUAG